rnacentral:rRNA from 1 species
ACAAGUAGUCAGAGCCCGUUAAUGGGUGAUGGCGUGCCUUUUGUAGAAUGAACCGGCGAGUUACGAUUUGAUGCAAGGUUAAGCAGUAAAUGUGGAGCCGUAGCGAAAGCGAGUCUGAAUAGGGCGUUUAGUAUUUGGUCGUAGACCCGAAACCAGGUGAUCUACCCUUGGUCAGGUUGAAGUUCAGGUAACACUGAAUGGAGGACCGAACCGACUUACGUUGAAAAGUGAGCGGAUGAACUGAGGGUAGCGGAGAAAUUCCAAUCGAACCUGGAGAUAGCUGGUUCUCUCCGAAAUAGCUUUAGGGCUAGCCUCAAGUGAUGAUUAUUGGAGGUAGAGCACUGUUUGGACGAGGGGCCCCUCUCGGGUUACCGAAUUCAGACAAACUCCGAAUGCCAAUUAAUUUAACUUGGGAGUCAGAACAUGGGUGAUAAGGUCCGUGUUCGAAAGGGAAACAGCCCAGACCACCAGCUAAGGUCCCAAAAUAUAUGUUAAGUGGAAAAGGAUGUGGCGUUGCCCAGACAACUAGGAUGUUGGCUUAGAAGCAGCCAUCAUUUAAAGAGUGCGUAAUAGCUCACUAGUCGAGUGACACUGCGCCGAAAAUGUACCGGGGCUAAACAUAUUACCGAAGCUGUGGAUUGUCCUUUGGACAAUGGUAGGAGAGCGUUCUAAGGGCGUUGAAGCAUGAUCGUAAGGACAUGUGGAGCGCUUAGAAGUGAGAAUGCCGGUGUGAGUAGCGAAAGACGGGUGAGAAUCCCGUCCACCGAUUGACUAAGGUUUCCAGAGGAAGGCUCGUCCGCUCUGGGUUAGUCGGGUCCUAAGCUGAGGCCGACAGGCGUAGGCGAUGGAUAACAGGUUGAUAUUCCUGUACCACCUAUAAUCGUUUUAAUCGAUGGGGGGACGCAGUAGGAUAGGCGAAGCGUGCGAUUGGAUUGCACGUCUAAGCAGUAAGGCUGAGUAUUAGGCAAAUCCGGUACUCAUUAAGGCUGAGCUGUGAUGGGGAGAAGACAUUGUGUCUUCGAGUCGUUGAUUUCACACUGCCGAGAAAAGCCUCUAGAUAGAAAAUAGGUGCCCGUACCGCAAACCGACACAGGUAGUCAAGAUGAGAAUUCUAAGGUGAGCGAGCGAACUCUCGUUAAGGAACUCGGCAAAAUGACCCCGUAACUUCGGGAGAAGGGGUGCUCUUUAGGGUUAACGCCCAGAAGAGCCGCAGUGAAUAGGCCCAAGCGACUGUUUAUCAAAAACACAGGUCUCUGCUAAACCGUAAGGUGAUGUAUAGGGGCUGACGCCUGCCCGGUGCUGGAAGGUUAAGAGGAGUGGUUAGCUUCUGCGAAGCUACGAAUCGAAGCCCCAGUAAACGGCGGCCGUAACUAUAACGGUCCUAAGGUAGCGAAAUUCCUUGUCGGGUAAGUUCCGACCCGCACGAAAGGCGUAACGAUUUGGGCACUGUCUCAACGAGAGACUCGGUGAAAUCAUAGUACCUGUGAAGAUGCAGGUUACCCGCGACAGGACGGAAAGACCCCGUGGAGCUUUACUGUAGCCUGAUAUUGAAAUUCGGCACAGCUUGUACAGGAUAGGUAGGAGCCUUUGAAACGUGAGCGCUAGCUUACGUGGAGGCGCUGGUGGGAUACUACCCUAGCUGUGUUGGCUUUCUAACCCGCACCACUUAUCGUGGUGGGAGACAGUGUCAGGCGGGCAGUUUGACUGGGGCGGUCGCCUCCUAAAAGGUAACGGAGGCGCUCAAAGGUUCCCUCAGAAUGGUUGGAAAUCAUUCAUAGAGUGUAAAGGCAUAAGGGAGCUUGACUGCGAGACCUACAAGUCGAGCAGGGUCGAAAGACGGACUUAGUGAUCCGGUGGUUCCGCAUGGAAGGGCCAUCGCUCAACGGAUAAAAGCUACCCCGGGGAUAACAGGCUUAUCUCCCCCAAGAGUUCACAUCGACGGGGAGGUUUGGCACCUCGAUGUCGGCUCAUCGCAUCCUGGGGCUGUAGUCGGUCCCAAGGGUUGGGCUGUUCGCCCAUUAAAGCGGUACGCGAGCUGGGUUCAGAACGUCGUGAGACAGUUCGGUCCCUAUCCGUCGUGGGCGUAGGAAAUUUGAGAGGAGCUGUCCUUAGUACGAGAGGACCGGGAUGGACAUACCUCUGGUGUACCAGUUGUCGUGCCAACGGCAUAGCUGGGUAGCUAUGUGUGGACGGGAUAAGUGCUGAAAGCAUCUAAGCAUGAAGCCCCCCUCAAGAUGAGAUUUCCCAACUUCGGUUAUAAGAUCCCUCAAAGAUGAUGAGGUUAAUAGGUUCGAGGU